GAUGAAAGAACGUAGCGAAAUGCGAUAAGUAAUGUGAAUUGCAGAAUUCAGUGAAUCAUCGAAUCUUUGAACGCACAUUGCGCCCGCUAGUAUUCUGGCGGGCAUGCCUGUCCGAGCGUCAUUUCAACCCUCAAGCCCCCGGGCUUGGUGUUGGGGAUCGGCGAGCCUCCGCGCCCGCCGUCCCCUAAAUCUAGUGGCGGUCUCGCUGUAGCUUCCUCUGCGUAGUAGCACACCUCGCACUGGGAAACAGCGCGGCCACGCCGUUAAACCCCCAACUUCUGAACGUUUGACCUCGGAUCAGGUAGGAAUACCCGCUGAACUUAAGCAUAUCAAUAAGCGGAGGA
rnacentral:misc_RNA from 1 species